rnacentral:rRNA from 1 species
UGGGGAAUAUCGGACAAUGGGCGAAAGCCUGAUCCAGCGACGCCGCGUGGGUGAAGAAGGCCUGCGGGUUGUAAAGCCCUUUCAGUGGGGAAGAAAGUGACGGUACCUGGGGAAUCAGCCCCGGCUAACUACGUGCCAGCAGCCGCGGUAAUACGUAGGGGGCAAGCGUUGUCCGGAUUUAUUGGGCGUAAAGCGCUCGCAGGCGGUCCGAUGCGUCGUGCGUGAAAGACCCCGGCUCAACUGGGGAGGGUCGUGCGAUACGGUCGGACUCGAGGCCAGUAGGGGGACGCGGAAUUCCGGGUGUAGUGGUGGAAUGCGUAGAGAUCCGGAGGAACACCAGCGGCGAAGGCGGCGUCCUGGACUGGUACUGACGCUCAGGAGCGAAAGCGUGGGGAGCGAUCCG